UACAGAGGGGGCAAGCGUUGUUCGGAAUUACUGGGCGUAAAGGGCGCGUAGGCGGCCCGCUAAGUCGAACGUGAAAUCCCCAGGCUCAACCUGGGAACUGCGUCCGAUACUGGCAGGCUUGAAUCCGGGAGAGGGAUGCGGAAUUCCAGGUGUAGCGGUGAAAUGCGUAGAUAUCUGGAGGAACACCGGUGGCGAAGGCGGCAUCCUGGACCGGCAUUGACGCUGAGGCGCGAAAGCCAGGGGAGCAAAGCGGG
rnacentral:rRNA from 1 species